rnacentral:rRNA from 1 species
AGUGAACGCUGGCGGUAGGCCUAACACAUGCAAGUCGAACGGCAGCACAGGAGAGCUUGCUCUCUGGGUGGCGAGUGGCGGACGGGUAAGGAAUACAUCUGAAUCUACUCUGUCGUGGGGGAUAACGUAGGGAAACUUACGCUAAUACCGCAUACGACCUACGGGUGAACGCAGGGGACCUUCGGGCCUUGCGCGAUUGAAUGAGCGGAUGUCGGAUUAGCUAGUUGGCGGGGUAAAGGCCCACCAAGGCGACGAUCCGUAGCUGGUCUGAGAGGAUGAUCAGCCACACUGGAACUGAGACACGGUCCAGACUCCUACGGGAGGCGGCAGUGGGGAAUAUUGGACAAUGGGCGCAAGCCUGAUCCAGCCAUACCGCGUGGGUGAAGAAGGCCUUCGGGUUGUAAAGCCCUUUUGUUGGGAAAGAAAUCCAGCUGGCUAAUACCCGGUUGGGAUGACGGUACCCAAAGAAUAAGCACCGGCUAACUUCGUGCCAGCAGCCGCCGUAA